AAUGGAGCCCCGUGUCCCCUGGUGUGUGCUGAGUCAGUGACACAGCACCGCUUGGGAGCCAGGGGCCACUCCUAGGAACGCCACUCCCCCCACACAACUCUGGCCUCACACUUCCAAGCUUGGAUGCCCCUGGUGAGCUCAGGCCCAGAAUCCCACACUAGAACUCCCAGGACCUCAAGCUGCUGUGACUGUCACAGAUGGAAUGUGCUGCAUUCAAAAACCUGCAAUGGAGUCCACAGAACUCCCUGUCAGCAGAAAAUCCUCCCUCGCUGCAAAGAACAAGGUGGCUGUGGGGUGACUGGAGGUGAGAGGGAAAAAAUCCUCCCACAAACACUGUUAAUCCCUAUUUGAUAGAGAGAAGAGGAAAGGACUCUCAUGCCGUGUUUAUCAUGAAGGCUGAGACAUCAAAUCUCAGGGGGCAGUGCUCCCCUACACCACACUGAGACGUUGUUGCACAAUAAGGAAGCAAGUCAUCCUGAUCAAGGUCACCUGUCCGUCACAUGGCACCUUGAGAGCCACUUCUCCUUGGGAGUGGGAGUGAGGGCUGGUCUGAGUCACUUCUCAUUCCUCGCUCCUGAGAUUGCGUGGUGGUGGCAGCCAGCAGCUGGCUUUCUGCUCUCUGAUGCCAAACUCUCUUCCCUGCCUGGCUGCAUAAGAGAAGACCUCCUCACCCCGCCUCCCCAACCCCCUUGUAAUAAAGGACUUUUGCAAUUGAA
rnacentral:lncRNA from 1 species